GUGGGGAAUCUUAGACAAUGGGCGCAAGCCUGAUCUAGCCAUGCCGCGUGAGCGAUGAAGGCCUUAGGGUUGUAAAGCUCUUUCGUGGGGGAAGAUAAUGACUGUACCCCAAGAAGAAGCCCCGGCUAACUCCGUGCCAGCAGCCGUGGUAAUACGGAGGGGGCUAGCGUUGUUCGGAAUUACUGGGCGUAAAGCGCACGUAGGCGGACCAGAAAGUCAGAGGUGAAAGCCCGGGGCUCAACCCCGGAACUGCCUUUGAAACUCCUGGUCUUGAGGUCGAGAGAGGUGGGUGGAAUUCCGAGUGUAGAGGUGAAAUUCGUAGAUAUUCGGAGGAACACCAGUGGCGAAGGCGGCCCACUGGCUCGCUACUGACGCUGAGGUGCGAAAGCGUGGGGAGCAAACAGGAUUAGAUACCCGGGUAGUCC
rnacentral:rRNA from 1 species